UUUGUCUUUCAGAUCAAACCUUACAAACAGCAAUUUUCUAUUUGUUCAAAACAGAUGUUAGGAUCAUUUUCCCUCCCCAGUGCCACUUUAAGGGGCUUUUAGGGAUGACCACUGAGAGUCUGAGAUGUUCUGAGCAACACUGCCUCAUCUUUCAUCCAAAGGUGUCCCCUGAAGGAAGCAAAGAGUGGAAGAGUAGACACAUAUGGAGAAAUCUGGCAUAGGAGCCUAAGAAAAACUGAAGAAGAUGACCACACUCAGCAUACCAUGGCCAUCAAGCACGGCAGGAAAAGAAGUCACCUGGCUUAUGCCUAGACCAACCAUACUUGCUGCUUCCAUUCCUUCACACUCUCCUCUCUGCCCUUCUUUUUCUUCCCCUGGCACUCCAUCACCUUGUGGCUAUGCUUAUUAAAAAGAAAGUGGUCAAGC